GACGAACGCUGGCGGCGUGCCUAAUACAUGCAAGUAGGACGCAGUUGCGAACGGGUGAGUAACGCGUAGGUAACUACCUAUUAGAGGGGGCUAACUAUUGGAAACGAUAGCUAAUACCGCCUACUAGUAGAUUGACCUGCGUUGUAUUAGCUAGUAGGUAGGGUAAUGGCCUACCUAGGUAACGGUACAUAACCGAGUUGGGAGGGGGAACGUGCAAAAUUGGAAUGGGAAACGGCCCAGACUCCUACAGGGGGGAAGAAGAGGGAAACUUCGGCAAUGGGGGGAACGCUGACCGAGGAACGCCGGGGGAGAGAAAGAGGGUUUCGGAUCGUAAAGCUCUGGUGUGAAGGGAGCGGUACUUAACCAGAAAGGGACGGCUAACUACGUGCCAGCAGCCGCGGUAAUUC
rnacentral:rRNA from 1 species